rnacentral:misc_RNA from 1 species
AGAUCGGCGAGGUAAAAUCUCGCGUAAUUCAACGGUUGAUCCAGAGCUCGGCGAAUGGAGGAAGAGAUCUUCCCUUUGACUAAAUCGGCGUCGAAGUGAUAGAGGUGGAAGUUGAGGUACGGAAACGUCACCGUAACGGUGCGGCGGAGCUCGGCGCGGCGGAGCUCGGCGCGGCGGUGCGUGGCGAUGAAGUGGAAGACGAUGUUCUCGGGGCAAGUGGCAUGCUGCAAUACGGAUAAGAUGCCGGCAACGGAGCCACGGAGGUAUGUGGAGUCGAGAGUCAUUGCAAUGUGGAUAAUCGAAG